CCCCGGGGCCUUGUACACACCGCCCGUCACACCACGAGAGUUUGUAACACCCGAAGUCGGUGAGGUAACCUUUUUGGAGCCAGCCGCCGAAGGGUGGGAUAGAUGAUUUGGGGGUG
rnacentral:rRNA from 1 species